rnacentral:rRNA from 1 species
UACGUAGGGUGCGAGCGUUAAUCGGAAUUACUGGGCGUAAAGCGUGCGCAGGCGGUUCGUCGUGUCCGAUGUGAAAGCCCCGGGCUCAACCUGGGAAUGGCAUUGGAAACUGGCGGACUCGAGUGUGGCAGAGGGGGGUGGAAUUCCGACGUGUAGCAGUGAAAUGCGUAGAGAUGCGGAGGAACACCGAUGGCGAAGGCAGCCCCCUGGGUCUAAGC